GCCGAGUCCGGUUGCGCUGGCUUAUGACCCGAGUGGGGGCGUUAUAUUGAUGGAACGGAAGGUUUCAUCCUGGUGGGCUGGAUCUGUCGUGGCUUCAUUCUGGGCCGCCCGUUUCAAGCAUGGAGAAAGCCAUGGAGCUUAGGCGGAGGCCCAAGUACCAUGGGCUUGUAAAGCGGGGGAGAACGCGUGAGGCUGGCUUCACAGAGCAACGUCAACUUCCCUCUCCUUGCAGUGGAAGGAUAACGGUCCGUGUCCGUCGGGUCCAAUUUGUCCCAGUGGGGUGCCCCUCACCGAACCAUCCUUCUU
rnacentral:SRP_RNA from 2 species